ensembl:lncRNA
GGCCUGCGGAGGCGGCGGGGGGCCCGCGGUUCCGAGGCUCCUGCUAAAGAUACUUGGCGGCAGCGAGGCCGCAGGCCUGUGGCCGGGCGCCAGGCCCGACCGCGAGUCAUUUCCAUACGCGGGUCAGCCCGCGGCGUGUUUACAGCCGCCUCUCCCCAGAGCUCUACCAGGAAGGCCCGGCCCCCGGGCCCCGGGAGGGAGGCCGGCGCUGGCUGUGGGCGGCGGGCUGCGUGCCUCUGGCCGGGAGAGCGCGGUUCCCAUCAACGCCGAUUACCGGCGGCCGCCCCCGACGGGAGGUCGGGAAGCAGGCCGCCGGCACCGCGGGGCCGUGCGAAAUGAUGUCGGUGAGACCUGUCUGUGGGGCUGUGUGCUUAUAAAUACACGCCGGGCCGCUGGCCGGGCGCCGCGGGCGCCCAAACAGCCCUGCGCGCAGCUGUAUUUGAGAUGGAAACGCGGGCGCAGGGGCCGGGCCGACCCCUCGGGGACCCUGGGCGAGCGCUCGCUUCCUCCCGCCGCACCGCGCUCGCCCUGCGGCUGCGGGCCCAGGCCGUUAGGGAGAGUGUGGAGCCGGGGCUUGGGUUCCCACCGCGGCCUCUUUAUAAAGAGACCCUUCUCUGAUGUGGAGGCCUUUGGAAGCGUCUCCUCCUUGUCCUUCUCCCUCAUCGCUCCAGAGCUACCUGGUUGAGUCCAGAUAUAAUUUACGUGUUUUAAAGACUUUUCAAAGGCUGUUAACUCUGCAGGGUCACUUUGAUGCUUAUCCCCAACCCAUUCUUCCAUCUUCACCUGGAGGAUGCCGGUUCAGCCUUGAAGUUGGGGCACGCGGAUCAAGAAGAGGAUGUUGUCAGCAUCCCGGAAUGUGGCUCUUUGGUGGAGGUGGUGGAGGCCCGGUGACCCCUCUCUUGUCCUGGCCGAAGGCUGAAGGCCUCUCCUUGGGCUUCCUUCCUCUCGGGGGCCCAGAUGCUCUGCUAAUAGUCUUGUUCUCAGUAAGACCCUGGCCUGGGGCAAAGCUCACCCUCCUGUCUCAGGGCAGGGUCUGCAGUCAUGAAUGGGAGUGGGCACCCUCCUCUGCACAGAGCCUGGCACCCUCCGAUCCCACCCCUCCAUCAUCCCAUCUCCCGUCACUUUUGGAGACUGGGCUUGCAGGCCCACAAACAAGAGCCCUCCUGCGCUCUGUGUCAGGGACUCUUCACUCAGCCGUGAGUGACAAUUCAUUGAGUGGCCUGUGGAUGUCAGGCCAGGUCUCUGCAGCACAAGGUCCUGCUUUUGAGGGAUAAAUCAGAGCCCUGAGAAAGUCUCUUUUAAUGUGUAUGAUGUUUGAAG